rnacentral:rRNA from 1 species
UAAGACUGGGAUAACUUCGGGAAACCGGAGCUAAUACCGGAUAAUAUUUUGAACCGCAUGGUUCAAAAGUGAAAGACGGUCUUGCUGUCACUUAUAGAUGGAUCCGCGCUGCAUUAGCUAGUUGGUAAGGUAACGGCUUACCAAGGCAACGAUGCAUAGCCGACCUGAGAGGGUGAUCGGCCACACUGGAACUGAGACACGGUCCAGACUCCUACGGGAGGCAGCAGUAGGGAAUCUUCCGCAAUGGGCGAAAGCCUGACGGAGCAACGCCGCGUGAGUGAUGAAGGUCUUCGGAUCGUAAAACUCUGUUAUUAGGGAAGAACAUAUGUGUAAGUAACUGUGCACAUCUUGACGGUACCUAAUCAGAAAGCCACGGCUAACUACGUGCCAGCAGCCGCGGUAAUACGUAGGUGGCAAGCGUUAUCCGGAAUUAUUGGGCGUAAAGCGCGCGUAGGCGGUUUUUUAAGUCUGAUGUGAAAGCCCACGGCUCAACCGUGGAGGGUCAUUGGAAACUGGAAAACUUGAGUGCAGAAGAGGAAAGUGGAAUUCCAUGUGUAGCGGUGAAAUGCGCAGAGAUAUGGAGGAACACCAGUGGCGAAGGCGACUUUCUGGUCUGUAACUGACGCUGAUGUGCGAAAGCGUGGGGAUCAAACAGGAUUAGAUACCCUGGUAGUCCACGCCGUAAACGAUGAGUGCUAAGUGUUAGGGGGUUUCCGCCCCUUAGUGCUGCAGCUAACGCAUUAAGCACUCCGCCUGGGGAGUACGACCGCAAGGUGAAACUAAAGGAAUUGACGGC